rnacentral:tRNA from 1 species
UCCGUUACGGUGUAGUGACUAGCAUCCGCCGUUCUCAUGUAGAGCAAUGACCCGGCUAGACCGGGGUUCAAUUCUCAGUAACGGAA